rnacentral:rRNA from 1 species
UACAGAGGGGGCAAGCGUUGUUCGGAAUUACUGGGCGUAAAGGGCGCGUAGGCGGCCUGCUAAGUCGAACGUGAAAUCCCCGGGCUCAACCCGGGAACUGCGUCCGAUACUGGCAGGCUUGAAUUCGGGAGAGGGAUGCGGAAUUCCAGGUGUAGCGGUGAAAUGCGUAGAUAUCUGGAGGAACACCGGUGGCGAAGGCGGCAUCCUGGACCAAUUCUGACGCUGAGGAGCGAAAGCCAGGGGAGCAAACGGG